UUCUUUCCCUAUCCCUCUUCCUGGACCUCCUAAUUUUUGUUCAAGAAAUACGUUUGUUUACUACUUCCUUGUUCAAUUUUGCUUGGGUUACACUAUCGGUUUAUUUCACCUUUAAAAAAAUAAUUGAUUUAAUACUUCUCUACUCAAGUGUUGGAAGUAUAGAAAAAAAAGGUCCCGUUUCUUCAAUACAGUCUGCGAAUGGGAACUUCAGUUAGCUCAGCCGGUCUGUCCUGAUGCUGGGCCGCGGUCUGCGAGUGCCGUUGACGUUACCUAUGAUGUGUUGUGACUUGAAGUCUUCUAGUCCGUAAACUAUCGCGAGGACGUUGAACUAGGAUGGGGAUCUCCGCUCUGCUCCGCCUAUUCCUGGAGCGUGCUAGCAACAUGUUGUGUACCUGGCUUCGUGUUGCAAUCGCCUGCCCGACGUGCUGUGGAUGGUAAACUGUGAAUAGAUGUGAGUGGUGUACAGUGAAUAGAUGUUAGACAAACAGUGUAUAGUUGUGAAUGGUAAAACCAUGCAUAGAUUAGACGUGUGUUUUGGAUAGUAUUCAGCAGAAUGGAUACGCAGACCUGCAUAUAUUUUAUCUGUUUUCCAAAUAGAUUAAGUGAAAAACUACAGUUUUAAUGAGCUUGUACUGAGGCGGAUGUUUCUGAUCUUUAUUGACGCCAAGCUGACGUUUUUGUAUUGAUCAUGCCCCAGUGAUUAUGUAUGCUGAACUUUACAGAAAAAAAUGUGGCACAGACGGCAUACUUACUAAGGAUUCAAAAUCCUAAAUAAGUUCGUUUGCUCGACCCUUGAUUGUCGAACACGUGGCCUGGAUUCAAGAUUGUUGAACCGUUUUUUCAAGUUUUCAGGGUUUAGUGGCUGAGGCGAAUGGAUCAUACCGUACUUUUUCAUCCCUUUCUUACUGUUAGGAAUCUUUCCAUUUUUCCACAUACGUACACACUUUAAAAAUAAGAAAUUCAGCUGUGAAUUUCGCACUAAAGGAUGGAUGAGUGUUCAAAUUUCCGCCCCGACUUGACUGUGUGAACUGUUUGUCAUUCGUUAAGGAGGAACAAGACACCCUCAACGAGAUUAUUGAAGUGCCACCGUGGACUUCUCCAUCCAUUUGUUUGUACAUGAACAUGUUUUAUCGUAGCAUUUACGCUGGCGUGUGUGAGUUGGAAUUCGCUGAGGAUCAUAGCUCAGGUUCUUAGACCUCAGCCCCCUCUGCCGUGGUUUCUGGCAGUACGGCCAUGUUCAUCAGGGCUAUUUAUGAUGAGGGCGCGUGUGGGCGGUCAACGCCCCCCGACCCCGCGGUCGGAAAACGCCCCGCCCCUACUACCUAUCUGACCUACGGAGGUUGUAGCGUCCGGACCAGCAGACAGCACGGUUUCCGGACGAGCAGCUGUUCGGCCAUGGCAGACUGGAAGCGCCAUCUGGGACGCCGGAAGCGGUGCCUGACCGAGGGCGACCUCAGCAGCCCUCUCCCGCCCGCCUGCAAGUGGAGGAGACUAGGUAAUUGCUG